rnacentral:tRNA from 1 species
GGUUUUAUAUUCAAUGAUGAUUUUAAAUUGCAAAUUUAAAGGUGAACUAGAAUUUCUAAGACCU